UCCCCAAAUAUAUGUUAAGUUGAAAGAACGAGGUUUGUCUGCCCAGACAGCUAGGAUGUUGGCUUGGAAGCAGCCAUUCAUUUAAAGAGUGCGUAACAGCUCACUAGUCGAGCGGGCGAGCAUGGAUAAUACUCGGGCAUAAGCAUAUUACCGAAGCUAUGGAUUUAAUUUGAAAGACAAUUAAGUGGUAGGGGAGCAUUCUAAUGCGGCAGAAUGUGGAGCGUGAGCUCUGCUGGACAUAUUAGAAAAGAAAAUGUAGGCAUAAGUAACGAUAAGCAGGGUGAGAACCCCUGCCACCGUAAGACUAAGGUUUCCUGAGCUAUGCUAAUCAGCUUAGGGUUAGUCGGGUCCUAAGGCGAAUCCGAAGGGAGUAGUCGAUGGCCAAUGGGUUAAUAUUCCCAUACUAUUUAUAAUUGUGAUGCGGCGACGGAGUGAUGAAAGUACUGCGAACUGACGGAAUAGUUCGUUGAAGGCUGUAGCUAUAUCUUGAGCAGGUAAGUCCGUUUGAGAUGGCAAAGGCUGAUAGUACUCGGCGUCUUCGGACAAAGAGAUAAUGUACCUAAGGGCUUCCAAGAAAACCCGCUAAACUUCAGAUUAUAAAUACCCGUACCGUAAACCGACACAGGUAGUCGAGGAGAGUAUCCUAAGGUGCUCGAGAGAUUCAUGGCUAAGGAACUAGGCAAAAUCGACCUGUAACUUCGGGAAAAAGGUCACCAACGUAAGUUGGUCGCAGCGAAGAGGUCCGAACGACUGUUUAUCAAAAACACAGGGCUCUGCAAAAUCGAAAGAUGAAGUAUAGGGCCUGACACCUGCCCGGUGCUGGAAGGUUAAGAGGAGAUGUUAUCGCAAGAGACGCAUUGAAUUGAAGCCCCAGUAAACGGCGGCCGUAACGAUAACGGUCCUAAGGUAGCGAAAUUCCUUGUCGGGUAAGUUCCGACCUGCACGAAUGGUGUAACGAUUCGGACACUGUCUCAGCCAUGAGCUCGGUGAAAUUGUAGUAUCGGUGAAGAUGCCGAUUACCCGCAGUGGGACGAAAAGACCCUGUGCACCUUUACUAUAACUUAGUAUUGACUUUGGACACGUGAUGUGUAGGAUAGGUGGGAGACUGUGAUCCUGCGUCGCCAGGCGUAGGUUAGUCAUUGUUGAAAUACCACCCUUCAUUUGUCUAGAGCCUAACUCCACUAUUGUGGAGGACAUUUCUUGGUGGGUAGUUUGACUGGGGUGGUCGCCUCCAAAAGAGUAACGGAGGCUUCUCAAGGUUCCCUCAGUACGCUUGGUAACCGUGCGUAGAGUGCAAUGGCAUAAGGGAGCUUGACUGGGAGACAUACAAGUCGAUCAGGUACGAAAGUAGAGCAUAGUGAUCCGGUGGUUCCGCAUGGAAGGGCCAUCGCUCAAAGGAUAAAAGGUACGCCGGGGAUAACAGGCUGAUCUCCCCCAAGAGCUCAUAUCGACGGGGGGGUUUGGCACCUCGAUGUCGGCUCGUCACAUCCCGGGGCUGGAGAAGGUCCCAAGGGUUGGGCUGUUCGCCCAUUAAAGUGGCACGCGAGCUGGGUUCAGAACGUCGUGAGACAGUUCGGUCUCUAUCUACUGCGGGCGUUAGAAAUUUGCGUGGCUCUGACUCUAGUACGAGAGGACCGAGUUGGACAAACCUCUGGUCUAUCUGUUGUUCCGCCAGGAGCACUGCAGAGUAGCUAAGUUUGGAUGGGAUAAGUGCUGAAAGCAUAUAAGUACGAAACCCACCACAAGAUGAGAUUUCUUUU
rnacentral:rRNA from 1 species